rnacentral:tRNA from 1 species
GUGGCUGUAGAUCAGUUGGUAGAUCCCCAGUCUGUGAUACUGGUAGUCGCGGGUUCGAGUCCCGUCAGUCACCCCA